GCUUAAUACAUGCAAGUCGAACGGUAAGGUCCCGAGUUUUACUCGGGAUACACGAGUGGCGCACGGGUGAGUAACGCGUACGCAACCUACCCUUAAGAGGGGGAUAGCCCUGGGAAACUGGGAGUAAUCCGCCAUGUGAUAUAAAUUCUGCAUGGGAUUUAUAUUAAAGCUUAGGUGCUUAAGGAUGGGCGUGCGUUAGAUUAGGUAGUUGGUGAGGUAACGGCUCACCAAGCCGACGAUC
rnacentral:rRNA from 1 species